rnacentral:rRNA from 1 species
CCUACGGGUGGCAGCAGUGGGGAAUAUUGCGCAAUGGGCGAAAGCCUGACGCAGCGACGCCGCGUGGGGGAUGAAGGCCUUCGGGUUGUAAACCCCUUUCAGCAGGGACGAAGCGAAAGUGACGGUACCUGCAGAAGAAGCGCCGGCUAACUACGUGCCAGCAGCCGCGGUAACACGUAGGGCGCAAGCGUUGUCCGGAAUUAUUGGGCGUAAAGAGCUCGUAGGCGGUCUGUUGCGUCCGCUGUGAAAACUCGGGGCUUAACCCCGAGCCUGCAGUGGAUACGGGCAGACUAGAGGUAGGUAGGGGAGAAUGGAAUUCCCGGUGUAGCGGUGAAAUGCGCAGAUAUCGGGAGGAACACCGGUGGCGAAGGCGGUUCUCUGGGCCUUACCUGACGCUGAGGAGCGAAAGCGUGGGGAGCGAACAGGAUUAGAUACCCUUG